rnacentral:rRNA from 1 species
CAGUCGCCGCGGUAAUACGUAGGUGGCAAGCGUUGUCCGGAAUUAUUGGGCGUAAAGGGCUCGCAGGCGGUUUCUUAAGUCUGAUGUGAAAGCCCCCGGCUCAACCGGGGAGGGUCAUUGGAAACUGGGAAACUUGAGUGCAGAAGAGGAGAGUGGAAUUCCACGUGUAGCGGUGAAAUGCGUAGAGAUGUGGAGGAACACCAGUGGCGAAGGCGGCUCACUGGACCAUUACUGACGCUGAUGCACGAAAGCUAGGGGAGCAAACAGGAUUAGAUACCCCCGUAGUCCCUGUCUCUUAUAC